GUGUUGACUGUGCCAAGAAGCUUUUCCAGGCAUUACUCAAUUUACCCUUUAGGUUCCCAAAUGUGCCCUUUUCACAGAGAAAGGAACUAAAGCAUACAGGGAACUUGCCCAUAUCCAUAUGGAUUCACUGGAAAUGUACGUGUUGAAUUACCAGUUUAAAGAAUCAAGGGGCUGAGAGAUCCAGUCAACAAAGUGGGUACCUUACCAACCAUGAGGCCCUGGGUUCAAGACUCUGCACCAUGUGGGGACACCAUUGACAGUACCAGAGAAGCUCCAUGGAUGAAUGGUGGAGUGGUGUUGAGUUCUCACCCUUUGACCCUGUCUGCCUGCACCCCUCCCCAAUUACCUAAAUUAAAAGAAAAAAUAAAAAACAAAUGGAAUCAA